CAUCGGCUAACUGUGAGCUGUCCUAAACGGCGGUCAGGUUUUCAAUGAGGGUCCAAUCACUCUUCUCCAGAAGUGGAAGAAAUCCGCCAUCCGCAGACACAGCCUUCUCAUGCUUUCUCCUUUGAAAGCAUAGACACAGAGUUUGUACCCGUCUUUGUGGAGUUGCCUGCGUUUGAGAAGAGUUUUUCUGGGUUUCCCAACUGCAGCCUGAGCGCUGGCUUCAUCGUUUACGGGGACUGCACUUACCAAGAAAACUCCCUUCAGCCUCUCUGAGCCUCAGUUCACUGUGCGCAAGGCCCCUCCGCACUCUUCUCUGGCCUGGACCCCCCAGAGCCAGACCGUGGCCUCAUCCAGGGGCAGGACUCAGAGAGCGCAGACCCCCGGCUUCCUCCAGGCCCGCCGGCCAGCUCCCACCCGCAAACUGCGCGAUGGACGCAGCCGCUGAGAUAACAGCCCGUACCUUCGGGGCUCCCCACACGGACCCGUCUGCCCCAGCCCGGCCCAGCCCCCUCCUACCAGCCCCGGGCCGGGGCCCCGCGUGGCCGCCCAGGGCCCACCUGCUCGCUGAGCCCCUCGCCCAGGGCUGGGGUGGCGCGCCCAGGCGUCUGCUCCCUUGGGAAGCGCCGUCCUCCCAGCUCCGCAGGCGGCUGGCGAGGCGCGCGCUCCCCCCACUGCUCAGAAGAGCAGUCAAGGGGGAUGGGAGGGAGGUGGGCUCCAGAACUGCUGACUUUCGGACCCGCUGUUCAGCGGUCCCUUUGGACACGCUCUCAUUUCCUCCUGGCUUCUUUCAGCCUAAGCCUCCCGCGCACCCCGCCCCCUGCCUCUCCGGGUUCUUCUAUUCUUAAGCUGAAACAGGGUGCCCGGAGACACUUCACAGCGGAGCAUCUGAGGCGCGGCUCCGCCCGGGGAGCGCACAGAGGGCCCGGCGGGUGGGUGGGGGCGACGGGGCCGGGGCCACCCGGGCACUUUCCCGGGUGUCCUUCCCUGCAGCCGGGAUCCGACCCACGAUGAGGACAAUUAGGAAGACACCGCGGAUGCAGGGGGCGUGGACGACCUCGUCACAAAUCGGUUCUCCAGACCUGCCUCCGAAAGUGCAGACGUUUGCCGGGACUGUGCACCUCCAAGCUGGCCGUCACACACCCCCGUCCAAAAGGGCUUGCCAAGCUCGGCGUGCUCGGCGGAGAGCAAGCUUUUGCAGUAUUCCGCGCUGUGCUUGAGAAGGGAUCGAAGUCGCAAAGCUGACAACUUGGAUGCAGCUUGACAGAGGAGUCUCCGCCGUACAUAACAUGACAGGGUUGAACACUGUAUUUGGUGAUUACAAUCUGUGUGGUGAUUUGGGAGAACUGGACUUAACGUGCAUUCAAUACACUGCAAGUAGUUUGUUGCCGCUUCCUCUUCUGUGGGUCCUCUGGGGUUUGGAUACAGUAACUUUUAAAAGGGCAACAUCUACAAGGAAACCAACUUGCACAGAAGUUCCCAGCCUUACUGUCCUUCUCUGAACCAUUAGAGGUUUCUGGAUCUCUGAGAGUAGAGAGUGCAAUAAUCACCAGAGAAUUAGUAUCCAGCCGAUUCUUUUCUUUCUUUCUUUUUUUUUAUUGUGGAUUCUGAGGCAGCAAAUAUGUCAGCGACAAGUAAAAGGUAGUAAAGAAUGUUGCUGCUUGA